UGGGGAAUAUUGGACAAUGGGCGCAAGCCUGAUCCAGCAAUGCCGCGUGAGUGAUGAAGGCCUUAGGGUUGUAAAGCUCUUUCGCACGCGACGAUGAUGACGGUAGCGUGAGAAGAAGCCCCGGCUAACUUCGUGCCAGCAGCCGCGGUAAUACGAAGGGGGCUAGCGUUGUUCGGAAUUACUGGGCGUAAAGGGCGCGUAGGCGGCCUGUUUAGUCAGAAGUGAAAGCCCCGGGCUCAACCUGGGAAUAGCUUUUGAUACUGGCAGGCUUGAGUUCCGGAGAGGAUGGUGGAAUUCCCAGUGUAGAGGUNAAAUUCGUAGAUAUUGGGAAGAACACCGGUGGCGAAGGCGGCCAUCUGGACGGACACUGACGCUGAGGCGCGAAAGCGUGGGGAGCAAACAGGAUUAGAUACCCUGGUAGUCCGCGCCGUAAACGAUGAAUGCUAGACGUCGGGGUGCAUGCACUUCGGUGUCGCCGCUAACGCAUUUAAGCAUUCCGCCUGGGGGAGUACGGCCGCAAGGUUAAAACUCAAAGGAAUUAAC
rnacentral:rRNA from 1 species